UCGGGAAUUUUGGGCAAUGGGCGAAAGCCUGACCCAGCAACGCCGCGUGAAGGAUGAAGUAUUUCGGUAUGUAAACUUCGAAAGAAUAGGAAGAAUAAAUGACGGUACUAUUUAUAAGGUCCGGCUAACUACGUGCCAGCAGCCGCGGUAAUACGUAGGGACCAAGCGUUGUUCGGAUUUACUGGGCGUAAAGGGCGCGUAGGCGGCAAUUCAAGUCAUCUGUGAAAUCUCCGGGCUUAACUCGGAACGGUCAGAUGAUACUGCUUUGCUAGAGUGCAGAAGGGGCAAUCGGAACUCUUGGUGUAGCGGUGAAAUGCGUAGAUAUCAAGAGGAACACCUGAGGUGAAGACGGGUUGCUGGGCUGACACUGACGCUGAGGCGCGAAAGCCAGGGGAGCAAACGGGAUUAGAUACCCCCGUAGUCCCUGAGCGGGCUGGCAAGGCGCAU
rnacentral:rRNA from 1 species